ACGGAAGGCAGCAGUGGGGAAUUUUGCGCAAUGGGGGGAACCCUGACGCAGCAACGCCGCGUGCGGGAUGAAGGCCUUCGGGUUGUAAACCGCUUUCAGCAGGGACGAUUAUGACGGUACCUGCAGAAGAAGCUCCGGCUAACUACGUGCCAGCAGCCGCGGUAAUACGUAGGGAGCGAGCGUUAUCCGGAUUCAUUGGGCGUAAAGCGCGCGUAGGCGGCUUGCUAAGCGGAACCUCUAAUCCGAGGGCUCAACCCCCGGCCGGGUUCCGAACUGGCAGGCUCGAGUGCGGUAGGGGCAAGUGGAAUUCCAUGUGUAGCGGUGGAAUGCGCAGAUAUAUGGAAGAACACCGAUGGCGAAGGCAGCUUGCUGGGCUGACACUGACGCUGAGGUGCGAAAGCGUGGGGAGCGAACAGGAUUAGAUACCCUGGUA
rnacentral:rRNA from 1 species